rnacentral:rRNA from 1 species
CCUACGAGAGGCAGCAGUCGAGAAUCAUUCACAAUGGGGGAAACCCUGAUGGUGCGACGCCGCGUGGGGGAAUGAAGGUCUUCGGAUUGUAAACCCCUGCCAUGUGGGAGCAAAUUAAAAAGAUAGUACCACAAGAGGAAGAGACGGAUAACUCUGUGCCAGCAGCCGCGGUAAUACAGAGGUCUCAAGCGUUGUUCGGAAUCACUGGGCGUAAAGCGUGCGUAGGCUGUUUCGUAAGGCAUGAGUGAAAGGGGCGGGCUCAACCCGCGGACGGCACAUGAUACUGCGAGACUAGAGUAAUGGAGGGGCAACCGGAAGUCUGGGUGUAGCAGUGAAAUGCGUAGAUAUCGAGAGGAACACUCGUGGCGAAGGCGGGUUCCUGGACAUUAACUGACGCUGAGGCACGAAGGCCAGGGGAGCGAAAGGGAUUAGAUACCCCAGUAGUC